GACGAACGCUGGCGGCGUGCUUAACACAUGCAAGUCGAACGGAAAGGCCCUGCUUUUGUGGGGUGCUCGAGUGGCGAACGGGUGAGUAACACGUGAGUAACCUGCCCUUGACUUUGGGAUAACUUCAGGAAACUGGGGCUAAUACCGGAUAGGAGCUCCUGCUGCAUGGUGGGGGUUGGAAAGUUUCGGCGGUUGGGGAUGGACUGGCGGCUUAUCAGCUUGUUGGUGGGGUAGUGGCUUACCAAGGCUUUGACGGGUAGCCGGCCUGAGAGGGUGACCGGCCACAUUGGGACUGCGGUACGGCCCAGACUCCUACGGGAGGCAGCAGUGGGGAAUAUUGCACAAUGGGCGGAAGCCUGAUGCAGAAACGCCGCGUGCGGGAUGACGGCCUUCGGGUUGUAAACCGCUUUCGCCUGUGACGAAGCGUGAGUGACGGUAAUGGGUAAAGAAGCACCGGCUAACUACGUG
rnacentral:rRNA from 1 species